rnacentral:rRNA from 1 species
CUUGGUCAUUUAGAGGAAGUAAAAGUCGUAACAAGGUUUCCGUAGGUGAACCUGCGGAAGGAUCAUUAGUGAAAACUGUCAAGUUAACAGCAAUGUUGGCUUGACUAAACUCGCAUCCAUAACACCUGUGAACUGUAAGAUGUGGUGAUUUCGAUCCCCGUCUGCCCUAUUUAAACAUCAUUAGUAACAAAAGUAGUAUUAUUAUAAUCUAAUAAAACUUUCAACAACGGAUCUCUUGGCUCUCGCAUCGAUGAAGAACGCAGCGAAAUGCGAUAAGUAAUGUGAAUUGCAGAAUUCAGUGAAUCAUCGAAUCUUUGAACGCACCUUGCGCUCUAUGGUAUUCCGUAGAGCAUGCCUGUUUGAGUGUCAUGAAAACAAUCAACCUUGACUUUGGGUAACCCUGAAGGCUCGGCUUGGACUUGGGUGUUUGCUAGUGUCACAGCUUGCUCACCUUAAAUGUAUUAGCUGGAUUUGUCUGUUUGACUGGUUUGACUUGGCGUAAUAAGUAUUUCGCUAAGGACAUCUCUCGGGGUGGCCAGUUGAUUGACUGUAGUCUGCUUCUAACCUAUGCAUCUCUUCGGAGUCAUGACUUAACUAUUUGGCCUCAAAUCAGGUAGGGCUACCCGCUGAACUUAAGCAUAUCAAUAAGCGGAGGAAAAGAAACUAACAAGGAUUCCCCUAGUAACGGCGAGUGAAGCGGGAAGAGCUCAAAUUUGAAAUCUGGUGGCCUCAGGUCAUCCGAGUUGUAAUCUAUAGAAACAUUUUCUGUGCUAGUUCAUGUACAAGUCCCUUGGAACAGGGCGUCAUAGAGGGUGAGAAUCCCGUUCUUGACAUGAAUCCUGGUGCUCUGUGAUAUGUUUUCAACGAGUCGAGUUGUUUGGGAAUGCAGCUCAAAAUGGGUGGUAAAUUCCAUCUAAAGCUAAAUAUUGGCGAGAGACCGAUAGCGAACAAGUACCGUGAGGGAAAGAUGAAAAGCACUUUGGAAAGAGAGUUAAACAGUAUGUGAAAUUGUUGAAAGGGAAACGCUUGAAGU